AUGUAGGUUAUAAAAAUAAAAUAAUUUGCAAAAUAUUUUAUGCUUCAUUGAUGUUUUGACAUUUUUACUUUAUGUAAUAAAUAUAAUAUGUUUUCAUCAAGUAUUGCGAUAUAUUCUAUUGUGAUGAGUACAAAAGUAAUAGUAGUGAAGACGAACGCUACUAUUGCUUUGUUAUAAAAAAAGUAUUUUUCUUACAUACAAUAGAUGCUAUAUGCAUGUUAUUUAUUAAAGAAGUUUUUUUGUUCAUUUACCUUAUAUAUAUUUAAAAAUAAAAUUUAUUUUACUACUAACUAUAACUACCUCUAUCAUAAUUAUAAAAUAACAUAAACUAUCAACUGAAAAAUGAAAAUCACACCUAGAGAAAUAUUCUCCCAAAAUAAUUUUAUUCAUUUCUUUAGGCUUUGUGGUUCGCAUAAAUCUUAAUCAGAUAUGAAAUUUAUAAACCAGAUUUAAUUUAAAUCAGAUUUGCAGUCAGAUUUUUUAAAUGUAAAACGAGACAAUUAAUUUUUUGUACGUGUUUGAAACAGCGAUCAACCCAGAUAUGUCAAAAAUUUACCUACGUUCUACAACGUCCUACAUCAAGAAAUCAACUUUUUACUUAAAUGGAAGGACAACAAGGAAGGCAGCACUUUAGAGGAAAUACUAAUCCUUUUAGUAAAUGCAAAUUUUAUAUUAGCAAAAUAUCUCAGCUUGUAGUGAGAAAAUGAUUUACAGGAAAUAAGUAAACGCUCUGAUGUAGCUAAAAAACUAAGACUAUUUAAUAGAUAAAAUACGUCUCAGGCAUCCACACGGUUGAAGGCGUGCUAAAAGGUAAUAAAAUUGUCAAUCACUAGUCUAUUUAUCUGGCAAAAUACCACGAUAAGCAAACAUUCUGAUGUAGUUAAAAAACUAAGACUAUUCAAUAGAUAAGAUACGUUUCAGGAAUCUAUACGGUUGAAAACAUGCUAAAAGGUAAUAAAAUUGUCAAUCACAAGUUUAUUUAUCAGGCAAAAUAUCAGACAAAAAAAUCGAGUAAUGCAUCUUCGCCAUUAGUCCUAGGGACAUUCACCCUACUUGAGGACUAUUCCUGUAUGGAAAAUCGAAAUCAGAAUUUUGGAACCAUUCCCGUGCGCAACAGAAAUUUCAAUCAUUCAAUACUACGGUACCGGUGAAUCAAAUAACGAAGAGGAAAGUUGUACUCGCAACCCUACAACUAGCAGCAACAUCUAUAUCCCAAAAACUUGUACAAGGCAAUAAACUCCAACUCCGGCAAGACAAACACGUCGAAAAUCUCCAGUAGCGAUGAGCAUAGAUGGAUUUAUAAAUUUAAAACUUAUGAACAAACUAAAAGAAAUUUUCCAACGAAUCAACAAGAACUUUUUACAGCUUUUUUCAUCAGAAUCAGAUUAAAUCGUUGAAAUUUGUCGAAUGUGUAAAACGAUGUAAUCAUUUUGUGGUACAUAUGCAUAUGAGCAAUUGGCUUAAAGAACUUGGGGUUUUGACUUUAUAGAAAAGAAAAGAGAAUGAAAAUAUGAACUAUAACAAGUCAGAAUUAGUUGAAGACCAAAGAGAUAAUGCAAAAUCAUCAAAUAGAAAUAAUAACAAACAGCAGUCAUCGAAAUUACAACUUCAAACCUCAGUUAUACCGACAUUUUUUCGGUGGUUCAAAAAACCAAAUCUUCUUAAACAUCAGCAGUUUCAUAGUGGUAGAUCAGCCAUCGAAACAACGUCCCGUCUUUAUGAUAAUAAUAGCACAGAAUCACUAAAUUUAAAUUUUGAAAACUAUUCAGGCAAUUCUUUAUCACCCACCUUGAGUUGCGAUAGCGUACUCAGUACGUCGACAACAGGAUUCGCUUUUAUUAAACCAAACAAAUAUGGAAACUUAGUGGAGCCAAAAAUUUUGUCAAAUAAUCAAUUGGAAAGUAAUUCAAUUCGAUGUGAAAGUAAGAAUUUCGACCUAUUGACUACAGAAAUUAAAGAUACAUGUAAAACAGAACCAAAGUUAACAUUAAAGCAAAAAUAUUUUUUAUUUGAAUCUGAUACUUUAAAAUCAAGUAAGUCCGUAGACGAUUCCACUACACAAUUAUCACCAUCCAAAAUAUAUUCUAAUUAUGAUAACUUAUCUUGGGUUACCGAUGAAAGUGAUUUAAUUCAAAAUAAAAAAAAUAAUUCUUUUGGAGGAGGCAAAGAAUUAUCUGAGGAGUUGUUUGUGCCAACUAGAAGAAGCCGUUCGCGGCGAACAGUUAGCGAUAGCUCAAAACAUAUACACUCUGGUGCUUAUGUUCAUGUAAAAGGAAAGCGAAAAGCUCCACAUCCACCGUCAAUUACAAAUAACGUCGAAAUAUUUUCGCAAACUCCGUAUUUGCUUGACAAAUCUACUACCGAAUCAACUGGAAAUAACUGCCAAACAUUGUCACCAGUAUCGACUGGAAGAAAAAAACGAAAAGCACCACCACCACCACCUAUACUAACUAAUUUCGUAUCAGAUAACGUGAAUAUUGAAAAGCAAUAUGAUAAAUCAUCAUUUUCAUCCAGUGAGUCAUCUAGCUUAAUUAUAAAAAAUAAAAACAUAAACAAAAUUGAAACGAAAAGAAACUAUUGUGAAUCUUUCUCAAAAACAGAUAUUGUCGAUGAAGGACGUAAGUAUAAUGCUGAAGCUCUUCUAAGUCAACCUGAAAUUAAAGCUUGUCAAAAUAUUUGUGAUCCAAGAGAUCGACUUAGUACGGAUCGUGAUAACCGAAGGUCAAAAUCGAAAAACCGAAAUACAGCUAAAUCAAUUACAUCGCUUACUGCAAAAGAACAAGAGUCGACCAGUCCUAUUAAACAAUUUAUAGAGAUUUCGAACGAUACAACUUCACUAACUCCACCCCAGUCACCAAUAUCACUGCGACCGUGGUAUAAACGUCCUAUUUCAAUGAAUAGAGAAAGCGUAAUUCCAUUUAGGCGAGAAGUGAAAUUAAAAACUAUGGAAAAAUCUAAACAAAAUGAUUUACCUGAAUCUGGACUGCCUGAAGUGAGUUUUUCGCGGUAUUCAAAUUUUAGUAGUCGCAAUAAGCUUCAUUUAUUUACUCGUCAAAAAGAUGUUAAAAAUUCAAAGAGUGAACAACGUUUUUCUAAUAUAAAUAUACCAAAUAUUAGUGAACUUGAUCGUGAAGCUGCUGCAAUUCUAAUAAAUGAGUCAAAACCAUUAAAUUGGGUAGAAAAUCAAACAUAUAAUCCUCCAGAUCAUUUGAAGCUAGACCAGAAAAUGCUUCAAGGCACAGGUGCAUUAACCAACAAAAGUGAAAAUUUGGUACUUUCUAAAAUUACAGGUAAAUAUAACGAUGGCAGUGAUUACGCGAGUGCAGAAAGUCAACAAUCCGCAAAAGAUUUAAUAAAUAAAUUUGAAAUGCAAUUAGAAAGACCCAAAGUAACAGUCAAUUCUUCGUAUGUUGCUAAAACUGAGAGCUUUGUUGGAAUUGCUACCUCUAGUAAUAGUAGUUACCCUGAACCAUGCUUGAUUACAAACCAAAGCCCUGGUUUUAAGUGUAAUUCCAAUUAUGUAAACGAUAAAACUGAAGCCGAAACUGAAUACUCUAUACUCGACUCACAUAAAAAAUUAACAUGGUGUUGUUCUUACUGUACAUUAGAGAAUCCAAAUUCCAGAAUAAUUUGUGAAGUUUGUGAACAUUUGAAAUCUUUUGAACAUUGUUUAGAAGAAAAACCUAAAACUCAUGUUAUCAAAACAAGGGAAAAUAUAUCUGAUGAAUUGCCAAAAUCAAUACCUACUACCCCACAGAAUUCUAAAACGCCUGCCCAAGAUUGGAAAUGGAAAGCUGAAAUUGUAAAAAAAUAUUUUUCAAAGCCGGAGAAUGCAAGUGCAGGAUCAAUCAAAACUUUAAAUUUAGAAUUAACUGUUGAUAAAUCUUCAAGUAGUUUUUUAGUUGAUAUACCUGAAACAAAUACCAGAAAACAAAUUAAGCAAGAUAUGCUGUCAAAUGAAAAUUCCAAUAAAAAUUUGAUUCAACAUCAAUUUGAUGAAAAAUUAGAUGUGGAUAAAAAUAGCGAGUGUCAGAUCAAUAAUAAUGACCUUAAUCCAAUUAAUUUUGAACAAAUUCGUAUGACCAGAUUAUUGAAAUUUAACAUUAUUACUCCAUCAAAUAUUGAAUGUUUUACAAAUAUUCAAAAUAAUGAAGAAAAGGAAAAUAUUUUAAAUGACCCCAAUUUACUAGAAAAGGAAAAACAAAGAUUACGGGAAAAAAUUCGUGCAAUGAAUGCAAAAGCUCUGGCUGAAAAAUAUCCAAUUUUGAAAAAAAAUUUAUCUAUAGGUGAUCCGUGUGCUGAUACACAAACAUCCUCACAACAAAUGUGUAAAGAGUUUUUAAAAAAAAAUGAAAAUCCCACUUCUUCAGUAACCAAUUCAAACAAAGUUGUGAAUUCAGAUUUUUUUUUGUUGAAACCCGAAAAAAAUCUUAACGAAAUUCAAAGCAAUGAAAUUAGUUCAACAAAAGGAACAAAGAAAUCUUUGAAUGAAGAAAAUGGAUUAAAUAUUUUAAAGGACGAGGUUUCAGAAAACGAAAUCAAACUACAAGUUAAUGAAAUGGAUGUUCUUCAUCAGACAAAUGAGUCUAGUUUUAAUCAUAAAUCAGGAGCUGUUAAAAAAAUUUCAUCAAAUUAUAUUUUUCCUUUAGUAAGAUCAAACAAGGAUGUUAGAACGCAGAUAAAAUCUCCGAAAAACAAGUCAAGCAAAUUUAACAGCGAUAUUUAUAUACAGGAAAAUAAACCUGUUAAAGUCUCGUCAUCCUGUCAAACAUCUGGUUUAAUAAAGAAAUCAAGUGAAUAUGACAGCAAAACAGAGACUUCCUUGAACGCUCUGAUUUCGCCGAUCAAAAAUUUUAAAUUUAAAAAUGAUGAAGUAAAAUUUAACAGUAAAACAAGUUACAAAAACAAUGACGAAGAUGAUGCUAUUAUUUAUAAAGAUUUGUCCCAUCUGGAUAAAGAGCAAGUUAAAGAAAUAAGUAGAAAAUUAACUUCUGCUGAAGGACGUAGUAAUUUUAAAAGGAGUUUAGAUAAUGGGAAUGUAAAUGGAAUUAGUCACACAGAUACUCUAGUUUUAAACAAAAUUUUGCGAAAUUUAGAACAGGCUAUUAGUGAAGGCAAACACGAAUUAGCUGCUAAGUUAGCAAUGGAUUUAGCUAAAAUGAAAGUAUCACUCCAUGUUACAAAGUUAAAAUCACAAAAAGCAUGUUCAUUUGAUUGCGAUCUCAACCAAAAUUUCAUAGUGGACAUGUUCAUUGAAGAUCGAAUAUCACAGAAAGGUCCAAUACAAAUAUCUGUAAAUCCAUUAAUGACAGUGGAAGAUCUAAAAAAAAAAGUUUUGCAAGACUAUAAUAUUCCGAUUCAGUUACAAAAUUGGAUAAUAAAUGAAGAAUUGCUAUAUAAUGAGUCUUUAUCGUUGUUCGAGUGUGGUGUUAAAAAUAAUUUGGCAAAUUUAUAUCUUUACAUAUUGACACCACCAAAAGAAAUAAAAGCUUGUGGAGUUGAUUAUAAAUUCACAAUUCCCAAAACCUCCAAAGCGUUUCAAGAAGACGAUUUCAAUGAUCAAAUCAACAUAAAUUCGUUAAAACCAUCAGAUAACUGUAAAAAGGGAGAUAAAUUAAAAGACCAUUCAAAUACAGAAUUAGUGGAUAAUAAUAAAACAGAAUCGGAAAGUUGUAUGCGAUCGAGUUCUUUAAAUACUAAUGGUGACACUGCUCCAUGGAAAUGUUCCUUGUGUACUUUAAUUAACAAUCCGUUGGUAUUAUCAUGCUCAGCAUGCUCAAAAGCGAAGCCUAUAACGAACUUUGAAAAAUUGUCAGUAUCAGAGAAAGCAAGCACAUUUCUUGUGGAUGAUACCCCAAGUACGUCUUAUUCUGUAUCAAACACCAAAAAUUCAAAAUCAUAUCCAAAUAAUUCUCUUUCUACAACGAAAACAAUCACCAGUUCGAGUUACACCUGCAAUGCCGCUACAUCAAAUACAUCAUUGUCACAUAAUAACUUUAAUAUAAGUGAUAAAGAUAGUAAUGAGAAAGUUUUAUUCCGCCCAAAAGAACAAAAAAAUGAUUUAAGUAAAACUAAUCCAAGUCGUAAAUCAACGGAGCUUUACAACAUAGUCGAAGAGGAUAAAAAACCAACUCCGAGAAGUGUACCGAAAGCUCAAGUGAAUGCAACUCAACAACAGCACUCUACAAACUUUUCUAGUCCAAAUAUCACAAAGAAUAAAUAUCGAGGGGUGGACAAUUUCAAUCCAUAUAGAAAAGAUAACGAUAUAUUUUUGCAAUAUAAUAAUUUUGAAAAUAACAAUGUAAUGACAAAUAUGAAUAUAGUAGCUCCGAAAUCAACUAGUGCAUCUUCGGUAGAUCUAAUAAAUAAAAAUUUUAAAUCUGAUCGAACAAAAGAUUUUGCAUUAUUGAAGUCGCCAUAUUCAACUAGUCAUUACUUAGAAUUAGUAAAACUACAUAACUUGGACGUUGUACGAAAUUUUGAGCCCUUUGAAUGCCCAAUAUGUUUCGAAAAUAUCGAGCACGAUAGUGGCGUAGUGCUACGGGAGUGUUUGCAUACAUUUUGCAAAGAUUGUUUGGUUAAUACAAUUAUAUUUAAUGAAGAAGCACAAGUUAAAUGUCCUUAUAUGGACACUGUCUACAGUUGCAAUAGCUUUUUGCAAGAGCGGGAAAUUAAAUCUUUAGUUACAAAGGAUAUAUUUGAGAAACAUUUAGCAAAGUCAAUUAAAUUAGCUGAACACUAUAUUGAAAAUGCAUUUCAUUGCAAAACCGCUAAUUGUAGAGGCUGGUGUAUAUAUGAAGAUAGUGUGAAUGAAUUUUUAUGCCCGGUAUGCAAUUUGAAAAAUUGUUUGACAUGUGCGGCGAUUCAUGAUGGUAUAACUUGCAAACAGUAUCAAGAUGGAUUAAACGAUUGCGAUAACAAUGAAAAUUCAAAAAGAACUAAAGAAAUGUUCAGGGAAAUGGUGGAAAAAGGAGAAGCACUCAAUUGUCCAACAUGCCAGGUUAUAAUGAUGAAAAAAUGGGGAUGUGAUUGGUUAAAAUGUUCAAUGUGCAAGACUGAAAUUUGUUGGGUUACAAAAGGACCCAGAUGGGGUCCUGCUGGAAAAGGUGACACUUCUGGUGGAUGCAAAUGUGGUGUAAAUGGAAUAAAGUGUCAUCCAAAAUGCAAUUACUGUCAUUAAAUCAAGAGUGACUUUCUCACGAAAAUAUUUUUGGGCAUGUUUCAAAUUUAUGCCUAUCUAUUUCCAAUUAAACUUUUAUAGUUCCUGAGAUAUAGCUAAGUAAAUUUUGAAGUUGUAUGGCAGCUACCCGAACCAGUGCCCUGAUCAACUCAGAAUUCGACGCUGAUCAAAAACAAACAUUUGAGUCUAUAUCUAAGACCGUUAUUUUUAGCGUUACAAACGGUAAGGCAAAUUUGGUAUACCCUUCGAACAUACGUUCAUUCGGGUAUAAAGAAUAAAUACAUUUACAUAUUGUAUGCUUUCAGAACGUUAGAACGAGAGUAUCACAAU